AUUGAACGCUGGCGGCAGGCCUAACACAUGCAAGUCGAGCGGCAGCGGGAAAGUAGCUUGCUACUUUUGCCGGCGAGCGGCGGACGGGUGAGUAAUGCCUGGGAAAUUGCCCAGUCGAGGGGGAUAACAGUUGGAAACGACUGCUAAUACCGCAUACGCCCUACGGGGGAAAGCAGGGGACCUUCGGGCCUUGCGCGAUUGGAUAUGCCCAGGGGGGAUUAGCUAGUUGGUGAGGUAAUGGCUCACCAAGGCGACGAUCCCUAGCUGGUCUGAGAGGAUGAUCCGCCACACUGGAACUGAGACACGGUCCAGACUCCUACGGGAGGAAGCAGUUGGGAAUAUUGCACAAUGGGGGAAACCCUGAUGCAGCCAUGCCGCGUGUGUGAAGAAGGCCUUCGGGUUGUAAAGCACUUUCAGCGAGGAGGAAAGGUCAGUAGCUAAUACCUGCUGACUGUGACGUUACUCGCAGAAGAAGCACCGGCUAACUCCGUGCCAGCAGCCGCAGUAAGAC
rnacentral:rRNA from 1 species